UGAAUUUCUGACUGACAGACACUUAAUUUUACCAACUAUAAAAGAUACAUGAAACUUUUACAAAGCAGAAGUGUUCUGCACAUUCCCUGGAAAUCUGUGAGGGCAUCUCUUCUUAAGAUUUGGGAUGCUGGCCUUUGAGUUACUCUCCCAGGGGUUGAGAGAAAGGAAUCUGUAUACCCCAUCAUCAAUUUACUGGUGAGGUGACCCCUGCAUUCCACUCAAGAUGGCCAGAAAUAUCCGAGUUCCAAGGAGGAUAUAAACCAAUUCAGAUGUGCCUUUGUUUCCCAGAUGUAUAUGCAAUAGGAAAGUCAGGUGGGAAGGACCUGUCCCAGGAACUCAUAUGUGGCUGAAAGUGAAGCAGACAGCAGUGAAUGUCACCCAGACAAGUAAAAACAUGAACAAAGAAAUGAGAGCAAUGAGUCAUUCUGGAGCAAUAGAAGAAAGAGAAUAUUAGUUAAGCAUUUUAAUGCCAUCUGGGGUGGACUUUCUCCUUGUCAUCUCGUCACCUCCUCCUUUUGUAUACAAGUGGUAACUAUUACCUUAAGAAGACUUGAAUGAAAUAUUAGCAAUUAAAAACUGUUCUCUACAGAGAAAUGUAGUUUCUGGAUGGCUGCCAUUCCAAGAAAAUUUUAAUACUGGAAAACUAUCUGACAGAUUGGGAGUGGAACACAGAUAUGCAAAGUGCUGCUUGAGAAAGGAUCAAAACCACAGUUCAACUUUAAUCUAGCCUGGUGAAUAUUCUGGCCAAAAAUCCCCUCAAACUUUUGUACCUUAAUGGCUGAGAUCUGGAAAUACAUAUUCUCAUGGCAUGAAGGGAUAUAUGCUGAUGAUCUGGAAUCUCAUAGAUUCCAGAUAUAUGCUGGAACUGCUUCUGCUAGAACUAUUUUCUCAGAUUCAGAACAGAACUAUUCAGGUGUACUUUACAUUUACUGUGUGGAGACUCCUUGAGCACUUUCCUCCUCAGGGAUGCAAAAAUCUGUCUAUAUUGCAGUGAAACACAUGAUGGAAUGUUUUGUAAACACCCAAGCUGGCUUUACCAAAUGCAGUUGAAUAUUAAUAUUAGCUUUCCAAAUACUUUCCUUCAGUCCCAAGUCGACUUAUAGCCUACAUUAAUCCACAAAUUGCUGAAUUCCUCACUGCACUGCCAACUUUUCUGAGUUAGAUAUGAAUAUGCUUAAAUUAUAUUUUGGCUGCAGCAAAACUGGUUGUAAAACAGUAAUGACAUAUAAUCGAGAAAGUCCUUUACUUUGACACAGACCUGUCCAGCUUGGUGGACCUUGCUAGUUCUCAGGAUAUUUGGAAUGAAGUCCAGAGAUUGCAUGGCUUGAUCUUUAAGGCCUGCCUAUCACAAGGGAAUUUGCACAAGGAGAGCUACUUAUAGUGCUAGGGAAAGGCAUAAUUUCCCUUCUGCAAAACGAGAGAGCAAACUGCCCCAGUGCACGUCUGUCCUGCACCGAAAGCAGUCAGGAUUACAAGGGAGGGACAUGAGCACUUUACAGUGCUCAAACCCAAAGUUUUGAUUUUAACUAACCAGAUACAAAGUUAGUUGUAAUUUAGUUAGUUAUUUUUGAAACUAAGGCUCAAAUCUGUUAGAUUCAGGAGGGAGGAUGUAAAGCUGAUUUACUCUGUGUGUAAGGAUGAUUUAUUGGUGUGGAUGGUCAGAAGGGUAAGAGAACUGAUUCAUGGAAAGAAAAUCAGAGAGGGAAGACCAAUUUGCUUAUGAAUAUCAGUUUCAGAAUUAAUGAAGCCUGUUUUGUGGUGAGUGUAUGUCUCAUGGUUGAUUGAAUUUUUAAUUUAAUAAUAUCAAGGUUGCAACAUGAAGUCAACCCUUUAAAGACCCUAGAGAAACUACAGAGGGUACACUGCCUGGCUGGAGUCCCUCACGCCUAGCAAGGCAAGAAUUAAGACUAAAGAACUCUCAACAAUUUCCCUGCAUAACUGACCACUAAGUCAAUGAAUAAUCACUUUGCUCCUGUUCCCUAGGAAAACAAGUUUAAAAAUGAUAAUUAAAAUAGUACAAUACAUUUCUGAUAAAACUCUCCUUACUACAGACAUCACUUGGAUUAUGUGUUAUAUCUCUUUCCAUAACUCUUUUUCUUUUUUACUGUGUGUUUGUACUUUCUAUAGGAGGAGCACUGUCUUCUGCUGGUCUGAAAAAUACCUGGAAUAUUUUGGGUCCUAACACAAUUAAAACAAUGCUAAUAAUGAUGGGUUGGCAUCUAGACCAGAAAUUGUAGUUUGAGAUCCUAGAACAGCUAGAUGUCAGGUAUAGAUAUUGACCAGAACUGUAUUCAAUUUACACCCCUAUACAUGCACAAGAAAUCAAUUACUAUUUGCAGAAGUACUUCAGACUUCAGGCUUUAAAUUUUCACCUGAAUUGCUGAAGUCAGAAUUUGACCCAGUCUGAUAGAUAUUAGUGGAUCAGAAAUAAGAGUGCAAUAAAUCAUAAACCUGAGAGAGAGAGAGGGGGGAGUUUGGGCUCUCAACAGUGAAUUUAAUAAAGUGUACUCUAAAGUAAGAGUCUUUGUAUUAUUCACUUUCCAUUAGGUUAUUUUCCUUUUAUAUGUCCUCCCAAUACCAUGCUGGCAUGUAAUUUUCACCCACUUUUAUCUAUUACAUGUAGAGAGGGGAAUGGAUCUUCCUCAGAGCUAUGCAGAACUGAAGCCACAUAUAUUUAAGUCAGGAAUCUGACAAUAUUCUCCUCACACAAUGGACUGCAUUUUACAGCUUAUUGCAUCUGGGUAUAGAAGUGGGAUAAACAGAUGAAAAGCAGAGAAAGAGAACA